GACGAACGCUGGCGGCGUGCCUAAUACAUGCAAGUCGAACGCAGUUGCGAACGGGUGAGUACCGCGUAGGUAACUUCCUCAUCGCGGGGGUUAACUAUUGGAAACGCUAGCUAAUACCGCAUACUGUGAGAUUGACCUGCGUUGUGUUAGCUAGUUGGUGAGGUAAAGGCUCACCAAGGCGACGAUCCAUAGCCGACCUGAGAGGGUGGUCGGCCACACUGGGAAUGAGACACGGCCCCAGCUCCUACGGGAGGGAGCAGGAGGGGAAUUUCGGCAAUGGAAGGAAGGCUGAACGAGCAACGGCGGGGGAGGGAAGAAAGGUUUCGGAUUGUAAAGCUCCUGUGUUAGAGAAGCGGUAACUAACCAGAAAGCGACGGCUAACUACGUGCCAGCAGCCGCGGUAAUAC
rnacentral:rRNA from 1 species